rnacentral:rRNA from 1 species
UGAAGUUAAAGNCAUUGGCUCAACCAAUGUAUGCUUUGGAAACUGUUAGACUUGAGUGCAGAAGGGGAGAGUGGAAUNCCAUGUGUAGCGGUGAAAUGCGUAGAUAUAUGGAGGAACACCGGUGGCGAAAGCGGCUCUCUGGUCUGUCACUGACGCUGAGGCUCGAAAGCGUGGGUAGCGAACAGGAUUAGAUACCCUGGUAGUNCACGCCGUAAACGCUGAGUGCUAGGUGUUAGGUCCUUUCCGGGACUUAGUGCCGACGCUAACGCAUUAAGCACUCCGCCUGGGGAGUACGACCGCAAGGUUGAAACUCAAAGGAAUUGACGGGGGCCCGCACAAGCGGUGGAGCAUGUGGUUUAAUUCGAAGCAACGCGAAGAACCUUACCAGGUCUUGACAUCCCGAUGCCCGCUCUAGAGAUAGAGUUUUUCUUCGGAACAUCGGAGACAGGUGGUGCAUGGUUGUCGUCAGCUCGUGUCGUGAGAUGUUGGGUUAAGUCCCGCAACGAGCGCAACCCUUAUUGUUAGUUGCCAUCAUUAAGUUGGGCACUCUAGCGAGACUGCCGGUAAUAAACCGGAGGAAGGUGGGGAUGACGUCAAAUCAUCAUGCCCCUUAUGACCUGGGCUACACACGUGCUACAAUGGUUGGUACAACGAGUCGCAAGCCGGUGACGGCAAGCUAAUCUCUGAAAGCCAAUCUCAGUUCGGAUUGUAGGCUGCAACUCGCCUACAUGAAGUCGGAAUCGCUAGUAAUCGCGGAUCAGCACGCCGCGGUGAAUACGUUCCCGGGCCUUGUACACACCGCCCGUCACACCACGAGAGUUUGUAACACACAAAGUCGGUGAGGUAACCAUUUAUGGGGCCAG